rnacentral:rRNA from 1 species
GGUUAAGCGACUAAGCGUACACGGUGGAUGCCCUGGCAGUCAGAGGCGAUGAAGGACGUGCUAAUCUGCGAUAAGCGUCGGUAAGGUGAUAUGAACCGUUAUAACCGGCGAUUUCCGAAUGGGGAAACCCAGUGUGUUUCGACACACUAUCAUUAACUGAAUCCAUAGGUUAAUGAGGCGAACCGGGGGAACUGAAACAUCUAAGUACCCCGAGGAAAAGAAAUCAACCGAGAUUCCCCCAGUAGCGGCGAGCGAACGGGGAGCAGCCCAGAGCCUGAAUCAGUGUGUGUGUUAGUGGAAGCGUCUGGAAAGGCGCGCGAUACAGGGUGACAGCCCCGUACACAAAAAUGCACAUGCUGUGAGCUCGAUGAGUAGGGCGGGACACGUGGUAUCCUGUCUGAAUAUGGGGGGACCAUCCUCCAAGGCUAAAUACUCCUGACUGACCGAUAGUGAACCAGUACCGUGAGGGAAAGGCGAAAAGAACCCCGGCGAGGGGAGUGAAAAAGAACCUGAAACCGUGUACGUACAAGCAGUGGGAGCACGCUUAGGCGUGUGACUGCGUACCUUUUGUAUAAUGGGUCAGCGACUUAUAUUCUGUAGCAAGGUUAACCGAAUAGGGGAGCCGAAGGGAAACCGAGUCUUAACUGGGCGUUAAGUUGCAGGGUAUAGACCCGAAACCCGGUGAUCUAGCCAUGGGCAGGUUGAAGGUUGGGUAACACUAACUGGAGGACCGAACCGACUAAUGUUGAAAAAUUAGCGGAUGACUUGUGGCUGGGGGUGAAAGGCCAAUCAAACCGGGAGAUAGCUGGUUCUCCCCGAAAGCUAUUUAGGUAGCGCCUCGUGAAUUCAUCUCCGGGGGUAGAGCACUGUUUCGGCAAGGGGGUCAUCCCGACUUACCAACCCGAUGCAAACUGCGAAUACCGGAGAAUGUUAUCACGGGAGACACACGGCGGGUGCUAACGUCCGUCGUGAAGAGGGAAACAACCCAGACCGCCAGCUAAGGUCCCAAAGUCAUGGUUAAGUGGGAAACGAUGUGGGAAGGCCCAGACAGCCAGGAUGUUGGCUUAGAAGCAGCCAUCAUUUAAAGAAAGCGUAAUAGCUCACUGGUCGAGUCGGCCUGCGCGGAAGAUGUAACGGGGCUAAACCAUGCACCGAAGCUGCGGCAGCGACGCUUAUGCGUUGUUGGGUAGGGGAGCGUUCUGUAAGCCUGUGAAGGUGUGCUGUGAGGCAUGCUGGAGGUAUCAGAAGUGCGAAUGCUGACAUAAGUAACGAUAAAGCGGGUGAAAAGCCCGCUCGCCGGAAGACCAAGGGUUCCUGUCCAACGUUAAUCGGGGCAGGGUGAGUCGACCCCUAAGGCGAGGCCGAAAGGCGUAGUCGAUGGGAAACAGGUUAAUAUUCCUGUACUUGGUGUUACUGCGAAGGGGGGACGGAGAAGGCUAUGUUGGCCGGGCGACGGUUGUCCCGGUUUAAGCGUGUAGGCUGGUUUUCCAGGCAAAUCCGGAAAAUCAAGGCUGAGGCGUGAUGACGAGGCACUACGGUGCUGAAGCAACAAAUGCCCUGCUUCCAGGAAAAGCCUCUAAGCAUCAGGUAACAUCAAAUCGUACCCCAAACCGACACAGGUGGUCAGGUAGAGAAUACCAAGGCGCUUGAGAGAACUCGGGUGAAGGAACUAGGCAAAAUGGUGCCGUAACUUCGGGAGAAGGCACGCUGAUAUGUAGGUGAAGUCCCUUGCGGAUGGAGCUGAAAUCAGUCGAAGAUACCAGCUGGCUGCAACUGUUUAUUAAAAACACAGCACUGUGCAAACACGAAAGUGGACGUAUACGGUGUGACGCCUGCCCGGUGCCGGAAGGUUAAUUGAUGGGGUUAGCGGUAACGCGAAGCUCUUGAUCGAAGCCCCGGUAAACGGCGGCCGUAACUAUAACGGUCCUAAGGUAGCGAAAUUCCUUGUCGGGUAAGUUCCGACCUGCACGAAUGGCGUAAUGAUGGCCAGGCUGUCUCCACCCGAGACUCAGUGAAAUUGAACUCGCUGUGAAGAUGCAGUGUACCCGCGGCAAGACGGAAAGACCCCGUGAACCUUUACUAUAGCUUGACACUGAACAUUGAGCCUUGAUGUGUAGGAUAGGUGGGAGGCUUUGAAGUGUGGACGCCAGUCUGCAUGGAGCCGACCUUGAAAUACCACCCUUUAAUGUUUGAUGUUCUAACGUUGACCCGUAAUCCGGGUUGCGGACAGUGUCUGGUGGGUAGUUUGACUGGGGCGGUCUCCUCCUAAAGAGUAACGGAGGAGCACGAAGGUUGGCUAAUCCUGGUCGGACAUCAGGAGGUUAGUGCAAUGGCAUAAGCCAGCUUGACUGCGAGCGUGACGGCGCGAGCAGGUGCGAAAGCAGGUCAUAGUGAUCCGGUGGUUCUGAAUGGAAGGGCCAUCGCUCAACGGAUAAAAGGUACUCCGGGGAUAACAGGCUGAUACCGCCCAAGAGUUCAUAUCGACGGCGGUGUUUGGCACCUCGAUGUCGGCUCAUCACAUCCUGGGGCUGAAGUAGGUCCCAAGGGUAUGGCUGUUCGCCAUUUAAAGUGGUACGCGAGCUGGGUUUAGAACGUCGUGAGACAGUUCGGUCCCUAUCUGCCGUGGGCGCUGGAGAACUGAGGGGGGCUGCUCCUAGUACGAGAGGACCGGAGUGGACGCAUCACUGGUGUUCGGGUUGUCAUGCCAAUGGCACUGCCCGGUAGCUAAAUGCGGAAGAGAUAAGUGCUGAAAGCAUCUAAGCACGAAACUUGCCCCGAGAUGAGUUCUCCCUGACUCCUUGAGAGUCCUGAAGGAACGUUGAAGACGACGACGUUGAUAGGCCGGGUGUGUAAGCGCAGCGAUGCGUUGAGCUAACCGGUACUAAUGAACCGUGAGGCUUAACCUU